UUGAACGCUAGCGGCAUGCCUUACACAUGCAAGUCGAACGGCAGCGCGGGGGCAACCCUGGCGGCGAGUGGCGAACGGGUGAGUAAUGCAUCGGAACGUGCCCAUCGAUGGGGGAUAACUGCGCGAAAGCGUUGCUAAUACCGCAUACGACCUACGGGUGAAAGCAGGGGACCGCAAGGCCUUGCGUCGAUGGAGCGGCCGAUGCCGGAUUAGCUAGUUGGUGAGGUAAAGGCUCACCAAGGCGACGAUCCGUAGCUGGUCUGAGAGGACGACCCAGCCACACUGGGACUGAGACACGGCCCAGACUCCUACGGGAGGCAGCAGUGGGGAAUCUUGGACAAUGGGCGAAAGCCUGAUCCAGCAAUGCCGCGUGUGGGAAGAAGGCCGUUCGGGUUAGUAAACCUACUUUUGGGACGGGAAAAGAAAUGGUCUGUGCUAAUACCACGGAUUGAUGACGUACCCGCAGAAUAAGCACCGGCUAACUACGUG
rnacentral:rRNA from 1 species